UUUGGUGGUUAAACGCCAAGGUCACACCUCUUCCCAUUUCGAACAGAGAAGUUAAGCUUGGUAGUGGCGAUGAUACUCUUUAGGGGAAAGUAGCUAGCCGCCAGAA
rnacentral:rRNA from 1 species